GCUCCGCAUCUCAGGUGAAAUUAGUCCCACCCCAUCAGCUGGCUAGGGCCCUUCCCUGGGCUCUUAACUUGAAUUGCCCCCCAGUUAGGAGCUCAGUCCCCGGAGCUCUUAAGGGUGCUUUCUAUUUGAAGAGUCUCGUCACUGAGAGGACCCUUAAUGGCGUUCUGGAAUCCUGAAAAGCAGCCCCCAGAGGCUAGUGGAACAGCCCGGGGAGAAAUGCAGAAAUGAGGAAGUUCAUCGCCUGGUCUCUAGGUGUGCUGCCCUCAAGCCUGAGAUUGGGCAGAUGCCACGACCUCCCUUCUGCCCAGCCCCAAGCGGUCUGCCUGGCUCCAACCACAGGGCAGCACGGGGCCAAAAGCAGGAAGAGCAGGUGUAGGAAAUUCUCAAUGUCACAGAACCUUUGUGGAGUUGAAAAGAACGCUCAGAUCAUCGAGUUUUACAGUUUCAUUUUCAGGUGAAGACACGGAAGCCCAGACGGGUGGCAGGGCAAACACUAAACGAGAUGUUGCAGGCAAGGCACUUAAGGACCUGGGCUUGACAAAUACCGGCUACUGUGGUUCUACAGAGGGGGAAGACAACGGCAGAGAGCUUUUGAACAUACACAACUGGAAGUUUCUCCACGUCCAGGACUUGUUGUCCCCUGCGCAUUUCACCGGACGCUCUAAGGGUCCUCUUCAUACCUGUCGAUAACCUGGAAGUGGGAAUGAGUCCCCCAUUUUACAGAAGGAGGAGCAGAAGCUUAAGAGGGCUGUAGGAACUGCCUGAGAUCACAGCAUGGAGAACGUAGAACACCCCACGGCGCGGGACAGCGUCUAGCACACAGGAGGUACUUGUUGGUCUCAGCUCCUAGACCUGCUGUAGAUGAUGGAAUAAAGGAACCACGCAACAUUUGUGCCAACGCUGACAUGAGGCUGCCCUCUGCUGGCCAAAGGAGUCUCUGCAGUCCGGGCCUGCCUCUUGCCUUAAGGGGGAGGAUGGAUCCCAAAGGAC